rnacentral:snoRNA from 1 species
UUUUGUGCGGUGAUGAAGCAAUUUGUGGACUAGAGUUUCUGAUCAUUUAGCGGUUUCAAACCCCUAAAUGGUUGAAGACAAACCCUUGGCUGUCUGAGCAUUCUA